rnacentral:rRNA from 1 species
UGCGGACAGUGUCUGGUGGGUAGUUUGACUGGGGCGGUCUCCUCCCAAAGAGUAACGGAGGAGCACGAAGGUCAGCUAAUCACGGUCGGACAUCGUGAGGUUAGUGCAAUGGCAUAAGCUGGCUUGACUGCGAGAGUGACGGCUCGAGCAGGUGCGAAAGCAGGUCAUAGUGAUCCGGUGGUUCUGUAUGGAAGGGCCAUCGCUCAACGGAUAAAAGGUACUCCGGGGAUAACAGGCUGAUACCGCCCAAGAGUUCAUAUCGACGGCGGUGUUUGGCACCUCGAUGUCGGCUCAUCACAUCCUGGGGCUGAAGUAGGUCCCAAGGGUACGGCUGUUCGCCGUUUAAAGUGGUACGCGAGCUGGGUUUAGAACGUCGUGAGACAGUUCGGUCCCUAUCUGCCGUGGGCGCUGGAGAAUUGAGAGGGGUUGCUCCUAGUACGAGAGGACCGGAGUGAACGCACCGCUGGUGUUCGGGUUGUCAUGCCAAUGGCACUGCCCGGUAGCUAAGUGCGGAAAAGAUAAGCGCUGAAAGCAUCUAAGCGCGAAACUUGCCUCGAGAUGAGUUCUCCCUGUGGCUUUAAGCCACCUGAAGGGACGUUGAAGACGACGACGUUGAUAGGCCGGGUGUGUAAGCGCAGCGAUGCGUUGAGCUAACCGGUACUAAUGACCCGUGAGGCUUAACCUU